CCUGAUGGAGCACGCCGCGUGAGUGAAGAAGGGUUUCGGCUCGUAAAGCUCUGUUGUUGAAGAAGAACACGUAUGAGAGUAACUGUUCAUACGUUGACGGUAUUUAACCAGAAAGUCACGGCUAACUACGUGCCAGCAGCCGCGGUAAUACGUAGGUGGCAAGCGUUAUCCGGAUUUAUUGGGCGUAAAGAGAGUGCAGGCGGUUUUCUAAGUCUGAUGUGAAAGCCUUCGGCUUAACCGGAGAAGUGCAUCGGAAACUGGAUAACUUGAGUGCAGAAGAGGAUAGUGGAACUCCAUGUGUAGCGGUGAAAUCC
rnacentral:rRNA from 1 species